AAUAGAUACCCGGGUAGUCCACGCCGUAAACGAUGAGUGCUAAGUGUUAGGGGGUUUCCGCCCCUUAGGUGCUGCAGCUAACGCAUUAAGCACUCCGCCUGGGGAGUACGGCCGCAAGGCUGAAACUCAAAGGAAUUGACGGGGGCCCGCACAAGCGGUGGAGCAUGUGGUUUAAUUCGAAGCAACGCGAAGAACCUUACCAGGUCUUGACAUCUCCUGACCGCCCUGGAGACAGGGUCUUCCCUUCGGGGACAGGAUGACAGGUGGUGCAUGGUUGUCGUCAGCUCGUGUCGUGAGAUGUUGGGUUAAGUCCCGCAACGAGCGCAACCCUUGUCCUUAGUUGCCAGCAUUCAGUUGGGCACUCUAAGGAGACUGCCGGCUAAAAGUCGGAGGAAGGUGGGGAUGACGUCAAAUCAUCAUGCCCCUUAUGACCUGGGCUACACACGUGCUACAAUGGGCGGUACAGAGGGUCGCGAACCCGCGAGGGGGAGCCAAUCCCAAAAAACCGCUCUCAGUUCGGAUUGCAGGCUGCAACUCG
rnacentral:rRNA from 1 species